rnacentral:rRNA from 1 species
GAUGAACGCUAGCGGGAGGCCUAACACAUGCAAGCCGAGCGGUAUUGUUUCUUCGGCACUGAGAGAGCGGCGUACGGGUGCGUAACACGUGUGCAACCUGCCUUUAUCUGGGGGAUAGCCUUUCGAAAGGAAGAUUAAUACUCCAUAAUAUAUUGAACGGCAUCGUUUAAUAUUGAAAGCUCCGGCGGAUAGAGAUGGGCACGCGCAAGAUUAGCUAGUUGGUGAGGUAACGGCUCACCAAGGCGAUGAUCUUUAGGGGGCCUGAGAGGGUGAUCCCCCAAGGUGGUGCGGAGACAGGGACACUGCGCCACGGGGCAGAAGCCUGGGGGAAUAUGGGGUCGGGGGUGCAGGCCUACACCCGCCAGCCCGAGGGAAGGACGCCUCCCCUGGGGUUUGUAACUUUUUUUUGUAAAGGGAAAACCCUCCCCACGAAGGGGUGUGUGAAGGUAGUAAAUAAAUAAGCACCGGCUAACUCCGUG